CCCUUAGAUGUUCUGGGCCGCACGCGCGCUACACUGAUGCAUUCAACGAGCCUAUCCUUGACCGACAAGUCCGGGUAAUCUUUGAAUCUGCAUCGUGACGGGGAUAGAUUAUUGCAAUUAUUAAUCUUCAACGAGGAAUGCCUAGUAGGCGCAAGUCAUCAGCUUGCGUCGAUUACGUCCCUGCCCUUUGUACACACCGCCCGUCGCUCCUACCGAUUGGGUGUGCUGGUGAAAUGUUCGGAUCGGCCGUUUGUCGCGGUUUCCGCGUCAUGUGGCUGAGAAGUUCAUUAAACCCUCCCACCUAGAGGAAGGGGAAGUCGUAACA
rnacentral:rRNA from 1 species